UACAUCCUGCGAUGUACGUGUAGGCUUACGUUGUUUUGAACCAAUGUUUGUUUCUAGGGAGUUCAACAUCUAAGCAUUGCUGGCAAGCCCUCUCCGAAGGGACGUCAAAUGUGCUUAUGUGGACACCCACCUGCGAGAGCGGGUUCAGAAGCAUAGGAGCUGAACGGCAUAGGCGGGUUUUCU
rfam:Paenibacillus alvei DSM 29 PAV_3c, whole genome shotgun sequence.